CCAAUAUCCCUACUUUGGCAUAACACAGGUUUUGUUUUACCUGGACAGGGACAGUAUGGAUCCUCUGGAACUAUAAUGGAUGUGCGAGUGAGCAGCCUGGCAAGAAUCAUUUUCAAGCACCCAGCUUCCCAGUGCCAGGUGAGGUGAUCUGGAAGAACACAUCUGAGUCGCUAUGCAGAGUCACCCUGAACAUUAUUGCAUGUGUCUGCUUGAUAACCAGACAGCGUCUUGCUUGUUCACCUUUAACCUGGAGGCCCAGACAUGCUCCUUUUCUUUCAUUACCCAGGGGCCUCUCCCAUCAACAGCCUAUGGCUAUGAAUUCUUUAUCCCUGUGAGCUUGGCUGCCAUAUGUGAUUCGGACAGAAGAUGGAGAGAAGCCCCAGGCUGCGGUGGCAGGUGUGCGCUUCCAGGGAGUACGGUGUUUGAAGCCGGAGGGACUGCUGUGGCCUGUGUUUUCAGGACAGCAAGCCUGCGUCCUGGGUGGCACUGGAGGAUGGAGACAAGCAGGAAGGAGACCACAUGCUUGUUGUUCAAGGAUCCUGUUCAUGGGCCCGAGGAGCUCUGCCAUUAAGCAGUGAGCUUCCUGCCUCCUUCUCACUGUCUACGUUGGACAUGACUGAAGUAGAAGCUUCUGGAAGCAGAUGGAAGGUAAGUCCCAGCUGAGAAAUGGUUUAUUCUGAUUUACUCCUAUUACUCAGAACAGGAUUCCAACAGAGGAGCUAAUCCUUGGCAUGCCCCCUGCCCCUGGCUCCCUCUCCCACGUGCUCUGUCCCUCAUGUGGACUGGAUUUAAAGAUAGCUUUCAAAUACGACUUUAGGUUUCCAGACUCCCUGCAGAGUUCUCAGCUGCACAUUAUCUGGCAUGUGAUCUGGGUCAUCAGUGUGCUUGUGCUCCCUCAAAAUAUAUAAGCAGAGGUGCCUUCCUCCCACCUUCAGAAGCGCUGGCACU
rnacentral:lncRNA from 1 species